rnacentral:tRNA from 1 species
GGGAAUGUGGCUUAGUGGUAGAGUGCUUGCCUAGCAUGCAUGAAGCCCUGUGUUCAAUUCCUCAGCACCA